UGGGGAGCAAACAGGAUUAGAUACCCUGGUAGUCCACGCCGUAAACGAUGUCGACUUGGAGGUUGUGCCCUUGAGGCGUGGCUUCCGGAGCUAACGCGUUAAGUCGACCGCCUGGGGAGUACGGCCGCAAGGUUAAAACUCAAAUGAAUUGACGGGGGCCCGCACAAGCGGUGGAGCAUGUGGUUUAAUUCGAUGCAACGCGAAGAACCUUACCUGGUCUUGACAUCCACGGAACUUUCCAGAGAUGAGAAGGUGCCUUCGGGAACCGUGAGACAGGUGCUGCAUGGCUGUCGUCAGCUCGUGUUGUGAAAUGUUGGGUUAAGUCCCGCAACGAGCGCAACCCUUAUCCUUUGUUGCCAGCGGUCCGGCCGGGAACUCAAAGGAGACUGCCAGUGAUAAACUGGAGGAAGGUGGGGAUGACGUCAAGUCAUCAUGGCCCUUACGACCAGGGCUACACACGUGCUACAAUGGCGCAUACAAAGAGAAGCGACCUCGCGAGAGCAAGCGGACCUCAUAAAGUGCGUCGUAGUCCGGAUUGGAGUCUGCAACUCGACUCCAUGAAGUCGGAAUCGCUAGUAAUCGUGGAUCAGAAUGCCACGGUGAAUACGUUCCCGGGCCUUGUACACACCGCCCGUCACACCAUGGGAGUGGGUUGCAAAAGAAGUAGGUAGCUUAACCUUCGGGA
rnacentral:rRNA from 1 species